rnacentral:rRNA from 1 species
UACGUAGGGGGCGAGCGUUGUCCGGAAUCAUUGGGCGUAAAGAGCGUGUAGGCGGCUUCACAGGUCUGCUGUGAAAACUCGAGGCUCAACCUCGAGCUGUCGGUGGAAACCGUGGGGCUAGAGUCCGGAAGAGGAGAGUGGAAUUCCCGGUGUAGCGGUGAAAUGCGCAGAGUAUCGGGAAGAACACCCGUGGCGAAGGCGGCUCUCUGGGACGGUACUGACGCUGAGACGCGAAAGCGUGGGGAGCAAACAGGAUUAAGAA